GGUCGAGUCGGCCUGCGCGGAAGAUGUAACGGGGCUAAACCAUGCACCGAAGCUGCGGCAGCGAACGUAUCACUUAAAGCGAUUCAGCGGAGUUGACGAUUGACGGAGCGAAGCGACGUCAAAGCGUAUACAAAGUCGAGUCGGUUUAAGGAUACGUUCGUUGGGUAGGGGAGCGUUCUGUAAGCCCGUGAAGGUGGCCUGUGAGGGUUGCUGGAGGUAUCAGAAGUGCGAAUGCUGACAUAAGUAACGAUAAAGCGGGUGAAAAGCCCGCUCGCCGGAAGACCAAGGGUUCCUGUCCAACGUUAAUCGGGGCAGGGUGAGUCG
rnacentral:rRNA from 1 species